GGGAAGGUGGCUCAGUGGUAGAGUGCUUGCCUUGCAUGCAUGAGGUCCUGGGUUCAAUUCCUC
rnacentral:tRNA from 1 species